rnacentral:rRNA from 1 species
UACGUAGGGUCCGAGCGUUGUCCGGAAUUAUUGGGCGUAAAGGGCUCGUAGGCGGUUCGUCACGUCGGGAGUGAAAACUCGGAGCUCAACUCCGAGCCUGCUUCCGAUACGGGCAGACUAGAGGUAGGCAGGGGAGAGCGGAACUCCUGGUGUAGCGGUGGAAUGCGCAGAUAUCAGGAAGAACACCGGUGGCGAAGGCGGCUCUCUGGGCCUUACCUGACGCUGAGGCACGAAAGCGUGGGGAGCAAACAGG